rnacentral:rRNA from 1 species
AUUGAACGCUGGCGGCAUGCUUUACACAUGCAAGUCGAACGGCAGCGCGGGUUUCGGCCUGGCGGCGAGUGGCGAACGGGUGAGUAAUGUAUCGGAACAUGUCCUUGAGUGGGGGAUAACGUAGCGAAAGUUACGCUAAUACCGCGUACGAUCUGAGGAUGAAAGCGGGGGAUCGCAAGACCUCGCGCUCAUGGGGUGGCCGAUAUCUGAGUAGCUAGUUGGUGGGGUAAAGGCCUACCAAGGCGACGAUCAGUAGCUGGUCUGAGAGGAUGAUCAGCCACACUGGGACUGAGACACGGCCCAGACUCCUACGGGAGGCAGCAGUGGGGAAUUUUGGACAAUGGGGGCAACCCUGAUCCAGCAAUGCCGCGUGAGUGAAGAAGGCCUUCGGGUUGUAAAGCUCUUUUGUCAGGGAAGAAGAGGUUCUGGUUAAUACCUGGGGCUGAUGACGGUACCUGAAGAAUAAGCACCGGCUAACUACGUGCCAGCAGCCGCCGUAA